rnacentral:rRNA from 1 species
CCUAUGGGGGGCAGCAGGCGCGAAACCUUUGCAAUAAGCGAAAGCUUGACAGGGCUAUCCCGAGUGCCAUCCGCUGAGGAAGGCUUUUACCCAGUCUAGAAAGCUGGGGGAAUAAGGAGAGGGCAAGUCUGGUGUCAGCCGCCGCGGUAAUACCAGCUCUUCGAGUGGUGUGGAUGUUUAUUGGGCCUAAAGCAUCCGUAGCUGGCUAGGUCAGUCCCUUGUUAAAUCCACCGAAUUAAUCGUUGGAUCGCGGGGGAUACUGCUUGGCUAGGGGACGAGAGAGGCAGACGGUAUUUUCGGGGUAGGGGUGAAAUCCUAUAAUCCCGGGAAGACCACCAGUGGCGAAGGCUGUCUGCUAGAACGCGCCCGACGGUGAGGGAUGAAAGCUGGGGGAGCGAACCGGAUUAGAUACCCGCGUAGUCC